rnacentral:rRNA from 1 species
GAUACCCUGGUAGUCCACGCCCUAAACGAUGUCUACUAGUUGUCGGGGAUUAAUUUCCUUGGUAACGCAGCUAACGCGUGAAGUAGACCGCCUGGGGAGUACGGUCGCAAGAUUAAAACUCAAAGGAAUUGACGGGGACCCGCACAAGCGGUGGAUGAUGUGGAUUAAUUCGAUGCAACGCGAAAAACCUUACCUACGCUUGACAUGUCCGGAACCCUGAAGAGAUUUAGGGGUGCUCGAAAGAGAGCCGGAACACAGGUGCUGCAUGGCUGUCGUCAGCUCGUGUCGUGAGAUGUUGGGNNAANNNNNGCAACGAGCGCAACCCUUAUCAUUAGUUGCUACGCAAGGGCACUCUAAUGAGACUGCCGGUGACAAACCGGAGGAAGGUGGGGAUGACGUCAAGUCCUCAUGGCCCUUAUGUGUAGGGCUUCACACGUCAUACAAUGGUCGGUACAGAGGGUUGCGAAGCCGCGAGGUGGAGCCAAUCCCAAAAAACCGAUCGUAGUCCGGAUUGCAGU